rnacentral:lncRNA from 1 species
CCAAGAGCUGCAAACAUUAGCUGAUUAAUACUCAGUCUUCUUAGCUGCUGUGAUCAGUGGAGGAGCACAGUUGGCAGACAGCGGUCCAAAGAAUCUUCGAAUUGACAAUGUCUUCUAAGUUCAUGGAGAUCUGCUUAUUAG